CGCCCCCUGGCGGUUGCGACGACAACAUCAGAAAAGACCCGCUCCCAGCUUCGCGCAGUCGCCGCCGCUCCAGCCCAACAUGGCGAUGCACAACAAGGCUGCCCCGCCGCAGAUCCCGGAUACCCGGCGAGAGCUGGCGGAGCUCGUGAAGCGGAAGCAGGAGCUGGCGGAAACACUGGCAAACUUGGAGAGACAGAUCUAUGCUUUUGAAGGAAGCUAUCUAGAAGACACGCAGAUGUAUGGCAAUAUUAUUCGUGGCUGGGAUCGGUAUCUGACCAACCAAAAAAACUCCAACAGCAAAAACGACCGGAGGAACCGCAAGUUCAAGGAGGCUGAGCGGCUCUUCAGUAAAUCCUCAGUCACGUCGGCAGCCGCAGUAAGUGCACUGGCAGGAGUUCAGGACCAGCUCAUUGAAAAGAGGGAGCCAGGAAGUGGGACGGAAAGUGAUACUUCUCCGGACUUCCACAAUCAAGAAAAUGAGCCCAGCCAGGAGGACCCUGAGGAUCUGGAUGGAUCUGUGCAGGGAGUGAAACCUCAGAAGGCUGCUUCUUCCACUUCCUCAGGGAGUCAUCAUAGCAGCCAUAAAAAGCGAAAGAAUAAAAACCGGCACAGGUAUAUAUAUUAGGUUAGGCUGGGCAGUUUUUUUUAAAAACAGAAAAACGUGAUGGAGGAUUGAUCUGAAGUUAAACAAAAAACCACGAUCUGACUAUUAGAAGACUCAUUAGUACAGAAGCGUCCAGGCUGUAGAGCCCUGCUUCCCUUCUCCGACCUCACACAGAUAAACAUCCCUCAUCUGAGCGUGUGGCCUCCCACCUCUGCUCUCCCCGACCCAGUGCCUGUGACUGAAUAGUUUACUCUAAAUGUGGUGACAAGUUGUUUCUGUAAGACAUUGCAUCGUUUGCUUUGUGUCAUUUUAGAAACAGAACUGCAGGGAGGCAAGACUUGGUUGUAAUCCCAGCACAGUGCUCUCUGUGCCUUUCUCCCGUAGAGUGAAUGUCUCCCCUAACCUGGCUGGUCCCAGCGACAUCUGUGUUCCCUGUUGAAACCUGUUCUCUGGUUUUAUAUGAUGCUGAAUGUAGACCACAAGUCACAUUUCUCAUGUAGGCUGUAAAUAUCUGGUAUUUCUCUUCUUUUAUUUUGUAAUUUAUUAUUUUCCUAUUGUUAUUUUUACCAUCUUCCUUUCUGGGCCUUUCUGUAAUGCCUUUGUACAGCUCAUACCUUCCUGCUGACAUAUCUGAUGAUCUGUUUCAUGCACUUGCUGAUAUUCUUAACUGAAAAGAAUGUGGUUUACUAUAAGUAAAAUGGGAAACUGGGCUCUGGUUUUUUGCAAGGGGAAGGUAAAGAAUGUGUAUUUAAUAAUUACUUAUCUUAAAUCUCUCUUGAAUUGGAAGCAGUUUCAUGUUCAAGUAACAGGAGGAGCUGAAAACUAUAAGUUUAAUCAGUCCUUUUAAAAAAGAUAUUUUAAUUCUUUUAUAUAAAUAAAAUUCAUAGGUCUUGACUUUUCAUACUUUAUUUUUAAACCUGAGAUUGUUUUUUUCCACUUAUUUGUAUCAUGGCUUAGGGAAGUUAUCUUCCUUUUCCAUCUUAUCUUUUUGCUGGUAUUCACCUGAUUAAAUAAUGCUCCAAAAAUCAUCAGGGUGGUGAAAAGACUAAAAAUUAUACCAAGCCAGGUGUGGUGGCACAGUCCUAUAAUGCCAGCACAGGGAGGGCUGAGGCAGGAGGAUCACUGAGAUGGAGGCCUGCCUGAAUCAUAGCAAGACCCUGGUUUUUUUUUUUUUUUUUUUUUUUGUCUGUUGGAUUUUUUUAAAACUGAUAACAGAAGCAGGGCAUGGUGGCUCACACCUGUAAUCCCAGCACUCAGGAGGCUGAGGUAGGAGGAUCGUUGUGAGUUCGAGACCAGCCUGGGCUACAAAGUGAACUUAAGGUCAGCCUGAACUGCAUAAACCCCAUCUCAAAAAAGAAAAAUAGCUGGUAACAGAAAAUUUUCUUUUUCUUACUUUUUUUGUUGUUGUUGUUGUUGUUGUUCCAGGGAUCAAACUCAUGACCUUGUACUUGCCAGAAAGGCACUUGUGCCACUGAGCUAUAUCCUUAGCUCCUUCGAUUUUUUGGGGGUGGGGGGUCUUUUUUGAGACAGUUUUACUCUGCAAUUCAGGUUGGCCUCAAACUCACAGGGAUCUUCCUGCUUCAGUGUCAUGAGUGCUGGGAUUACACAUGCACCUGCCACCAUGGCCAGUUAAAAAUGUUCUUGAAUGAAGUGAAAGAUGGUGUGAGAGCCAGUGUUGCCCAGAAGAACAUCUUCCUUGUGGGGUCUGUGGCUGAGGAAUAUGCUAAUGCUUGUUACCUGUCUAGUGCCAUGAUCAUGUACUUGGGAAGCCUAAAAGUGCUGCUGUCUGGGCGCCACCCCUAGAGAUUCUAGGAUACAGUCUACUUAUUGGGAUUUCCUUCCGAAGAGUCCCCAAUAGGCUGCUGAUACAUUGUUUGUGUGUUUGUUUAUUUGGCAUUGGGGAUUGUUGAACUCACAACCUCACGCUUGCCAGCUAGGCACUGUGCCGCUGAGCUGCAUCCGCCCAAGACACUGAUAAGGAGCAAAGUUGAGACUGAUUUGAUUUAAAUCCUGCCCUGUGAGUUAGUGUUAGGGUUAAGUUUUGGGGUCUUGUCUUUCCUUUCAGUCUGUUUAGCCUUGGUCCUUAAAUUACUCCAGUAACUUUAUGAGGAGGGUGUCAUGGUGAUGAUAUUCAUGGAGUUGGAUAGGAGUGGAUUCUAUUAGCAGAAAAAGUCCACCUUGUCAGAUGGGCUGCAGUUUUUACUGUUGUUGGGGUGAGGUGGGAAACUUACUAUUUCUUUUAAACCGUGCGAUAGUCUUAGAUGGCUUUGGCUUUGGUAGCAGAACUCUAAUGUCAGGGUUUUUAAGGAAAUAAUUUCUUCUGUUUAGAGUGUUUCUUUGAAAAAAAGUAAACAAACCAAUCCCAGGAGCUUUCUAUAUCGUAUGUUAGUUUUUCCCCUUUUCUGCGAGGCAGGAGUAGGGUGUCAGGAAAGCACACAACAGACAUUAAAAUACCUCUGGUCCUCAUAGUUUGGCAUUUGCUAGCGAUGUUUGUACUGCUCUUUAAAAGGUGUGUUUACAGGUAUAGUGGCACAUGCCUACAGUCCCGACGUUCAGAAGGCUGAGGCAGGAAUUUAAGACCAGCAGGGGCUAUGUGGCAGGUUCAAGGCCAGCCUCGACUACAUAGUGAGUCCCUGUCUCCAAAAACAAAACAGUUUAGGUAUUCUAUUUAUUAUUGCAGUGCUCAAUAUCAGUCCCAGGCCUUCAUCCACGUGAGAUGGACACUGUACCGCUUACCUGUAGGCUCAGCCCCUAAAAGUGAAUUACUCAAAAGCGUAUCUACCAUGUGUAAAAUCAUGGUUAGAAACAGGCUGCUUAGCUUAUACUUAUUUUCCCAGUAAAAUUUAACCACUGAUGAGGGGAUGUUGCCGUUUUCCUAUGUUGUGUAAGUUGCUAGGGAUCCUGGAGGUAGUCAAACCCUUUUACUUUUUUUUUUUCUUCAGUACAUCCCAGCCCUUUUUAAGUUUUGAGACAGAGUCUCACUAAAAAGGUUGCUGAAUUGCUGAGAUUGCGCUUGAAUUUGCAAUCCUCCUGCCUCAGCCUCUCAGAAUCCUGGGAUUACAAAGCUGUGUGAACCUGACUGGUAGUAUUCAAGCUGUGAGAGAUGGCUUAGUUCCCCUACAUUAGGGUCCUUUAGAAAAAGGGACCUUACCUGCCAUGUACCAUGCUUGUGACACUGAACUUUGGUUAUCAAGUUAAGUUUGCUUGACUUUAAGAUUAGGUUGAGGUGAUGUCCUUGAUCAAAGUAUUGAUUUUAAAAGGUGCUAACCAGUUGUAGUGCACAGAUCUGUCAUUCCCAGCACUUAGGAAAUAGAAACAGGAGAAUACCUAGUCCAAAGGCAGUCCAGCCCAGGUACCUUGGUGAGACUCUUGUCUCAAAGAAAGGAAGAAAAUGGGAAGAAAAGGAGGAGGGCAGGGUUACAUCGUCAGAGGACACUGUUGAUGGAGUUAGUCUUCUGGGCCACCUGUGUCCUCCUGUCUUGCCCUGCAGCAGUUCCUGAGCUGGACUUGCCAUCAGGACUCCUGAGAAGGUGCUUGCUUCUGGUUCUUUCAUCACUGGAUUACUUGUGUUUGGAACAGUACUUUGGCUGCGUUUUACAAGGAUAGAAAAUGAAUUGGUUUAAAGAACUAGAGUCCUAUGAAGAGACUGCCUCCUGGGACAUGGCCCUCUUCUCUUCCAGUCCAGAAGGACAAAGACCUGGAAGACUGAGGACAUUUAGGGAUGUUUGCUGUCCUUCUCCACUCUUGGGACUAGGUUGUCCUUUGCUUCUUUUGAUAGUUAUGGGAUAUUAGAAAGAAAGAAAGAAAAAAAGAAAAAGCCCAGGCCCUUUCUAGUAACAUUCUUGUUACCGGGAAGAUGGUGUCAGUAAAAAGCUCCGUGAGGUCUCGGGUGGAUUCUUCCACAGACUGAGGCUGUUCAUUCUUUUUAGACUCUGAAUGUUCAAAGCAUCAUCCGACCGCCACAAGUAGAAGGUGGAGAGCAGGAACAACCCACAGAGUCAAAGAUGGGUCACUGGAGCCGCAUGGAGGGACUGCAGGGAAGCUUGAGCUGGGGGAGGGCAGGGUGGGCUGGGAGAGCAAGCGCUUCUGAGCUGCUGCCCCCAUCUGGAGAGGCAUCUCACUGUCUUAGGCUUGGAAGUAAUGUGAGGAGUCAUGAGUUAUUACAUAAGUUAAACAUUUCCCAUAAUUGGGUUUAUGUUGUUUGUUUAGAAGAAAUCCUUAUUUUGAAAGCGUAGGAAGCAGGCAUCAGAAUCAUUUCCAUCUCCAGGCCUCAGCUUUUGGGUAUUAGGUACUGUGAAGUACUCUGUUCUGUAAAGAGUCAUCUUGCCAUGGCUGCCUUUACUAAUAAGAGAAUUGAAAUGAGUGCUAAGUAGCCUGUUCUUGAAAGUGGUCACCGUUCAGGGUUUUUUGUUUUUGUUUUUGUUUUUGUUUUGUUUUUUGAGACAGGGUCUCACGCUGUAAUUUAGGCUGGCCUUGACUCUAGCCAAGGCUGGCCUUGAACUUGUGGCAGUCCUCCUGCCUCGGGCUCCCUAGGGCUGGGAUUCUAAUCAUGCACCAGCCAUAUGUGGUAUUUUGGGACUCUUGGGUUUUGCAUUUAUGCUAACUUUUCUGUCCCUCAUUCUCAUUCCAAAUUCUUGAGGCGUUGUUGUACUUAAAAAUUCAAACCUGAAGCUGGGUAUGAUGAUGGUCAGCUCAGCUCUUCAAGAGCCAGGGGCAGGAGAAUUACAGGUUCAAGGCCAGGCUGAGCAACUUAGUGAGCCCUGUUUUAAAAGUUUAAAGAAAAGAUGGAUGGUGGUGGUGGUGGAAUGCAACUCCGUGUAGACCACUUGCUUGAGGGGUGUUGAGGCCCUGGGUUCGGGCUCUCAUGCAAAUAAAAAACAAAAAAUGUUCACAUCUGAAGCCCAGACUAAAUUGUGCAGGGAGGAGAAAGUCCAUUUAUUUCUCCAAGGAGGUGUCCUGUUGAGUGCCAGAACCGUGACAGACGUUAAGGUGCAGGAAGGAGGGGUUGGAAUUUUGCUUCCUGGGUCAAUCUGAAAGAGUACUCAACCUUCUAAGUGGCGGACUUCAUGCUUCAAAACAGUUUCCACUUUAAAAAACUGCCUGGUAGAGAGAAACUGUCACCCGACAGGGAUGUAUCAGAGUGGAUGCUGGUCCUUACAUAGGGCAGAGUGUUCACGGGAGGGUGUAGGGUGACUGGGUAUGGGAAGAAUGGACUCAGCCUUUGAUGUGUGUUCACUUUUGGGCUCAGCCCUUUGUAUCUCUUCACUUCGAAUGUGCUUGUGUAAUAUACAUGAAUGUUAGUUUAUUAGUCCAUGUAGAUUAUUUAUGAAUAUUAAGUUGAACCACAAGAGAUUGCUAAUAUUCAAAUUGUUUUGAUCUAUAAAAAAAUGGCAGUUGUCAUGGUUUAAAAAUAAACUUGUAUGUGUUA